AUAUACGAACAUAUCACGUUCAAUGGAGUGGUUCUCGUCCGAUCGCCGAAGUUAAGCAACGUGUAGCCUAGUGUGAUGGGAGACCGCUUCAGAAAAAUGUGUGCUGUAAGCA
rnacentral:rRNA from 1 species